rnacentral:rRNA from 1 species
UACGUAGGUGGCAAGCGUUGUCCGGAUUUACUGGGCGUAAAGAGCGCGCAGGCGGUCGUUCAAGUCGAGUGUGAAAGCCCCCGGCUCAACUGGGGAGGGUCACUCGAUACUGAUCGACUUGAAGGCAGGAGAGGGAAGCGGAAUUCCCGGUGUAGUGGUGGAAUGCGUAGAUAUUGGGAGGAACACCAGUGGCGAAGGCGGCUCACUGGACCGGUACUGACGCUGAUGCGCGAAAGCGUGGGGAGCAAACAGG